rnacentral:rRNA from 1 species
CAGUCGCCACGGUAAUACGAAGGGUGCAAGCGUUAAUCGGAAUUACUGGGCGUAAAGCGCGCGUAGGUGGUUUGGUAAGAUGGAUGUGAAAUCCCCGGGCUCAACCUGGGAACUGCAUCCAUAACUGCCUGACUAGAGUACGGUAGAGGGUGGUGGAAUUUCCUGUGUAGCGGUGAAAUGCGUAGAUAUAGGAAGGAACACCAGUGGCGAAGGCGACCACCUGGACUGAUACUGACACUGAGGUGCGAAAGCGUGGGGAGCAAACAGGAUUAGAUACCCGAGUAGUCCCUGUCUCUUAUAC